AUUGAACGCUGGCGGCAUGCUUUACACAUGCAAGUCGAACGGUAACAGGCCGCAAGGUGCUGACGAGUGGCGAACGGGUGAGUAAUACAUCGGAACGUGUCCUGGAGUGGGGGAUAGCCCGGCGACAGCCGGAUUAAUACCGCAUACGCUCUGAGGAGGAAAGCGGGGGAUCUUCGGACCUCGCGCUCACUGGGCGGCCGAUAGCAGCGUAGCUAGUAGGGGGGGUAAAGGCCUACCAAGGCGCCGAUCAGUAGCUGGUCUGAGAGGACGAUCGGCCACACGGGGACAUAGACACGGCCCAGACUCCUACGGGGAGCAGCAGUGGGGAAUGAUGGGCAAUGGGCGAAAGCCUGAUCCAGCAAUGCCUGGUGUGUGAAGAAGGCCUUCGGGUUGUAAAGCACUUUUGUCCGUAAAGAAAUGGCUCUGGGUAAUACCUGGGGUCGAUGGCGGUACCGGAAGAAUAAGGACCGGCUAACUACGUGCCAGCCGCCGCCGUAA
rnacentral:rRNA from 1 species